rnacentral:lncRNA from 1 species
UCCCACUUGGGAAGGGGGCGUCUUCACGUGGAGUCUCAGAAGCCGGAUGAUGCCAGGGACUGCAGCUUCCUUGCUCGGAAUGGUGGAGACAGCCACCAUCCCCUGGAGGUGUUGGACGCCCCAGGAUGUGGAAAGCGGCCAGCACUCUCCCUAGCUAACCCAGUCCAGGCAUCCUCAGACCGGGCCUCUCUCCCAGAACCACCCCUGUCCCCCAAGUCACAACCGAGGGGUCAGGCCGCAGGUCAGAGGUCACGCAGGCUGGAAUGCAGUCCUGACUCUCAGCAGAGGCCCUGGAGCCUCCCCUCCUGCAGAGCACAAGCAAAGAAACCGUCCCAGAGAGAGCUGCGAUUGCCCCAAGGUCACCCAGCGCUGGAGGAGCGGGGCUGGGGAGUCGCCAGGCCCAGACGUUCAGACCUCAAGAUCGAGACGGAGCUGGAAAGCAGGCCAGGCGGGUCAAAGUCCCCACAAGGAGGCAGGCCCAGGGCCUUGCUGUGUCAUCCAGGCUGGCCUUGGACUAAUGGUGAUCCUCCUGCCUCAGCCUCCCGAAGGCUGGUACUACAAGUGUGCGCCACCACACUCCUCGUGGCCCCUCGGAAGAGGACUCAACUGCGCUGUUUGUGGGUUCCUCUUGGAUCCGAAUGCUGUGCCUCGCCUCGGGGGAAGAAGCUGGGCGCCUUGAAGGGAGGGUCUCUCAUGGGUGAGGGGCUCAGAGAAGGUGGGUCAGGUCCGCUGGAGCAGCCUAGGUGCGGAGGGCCGGGGCGGGAAGCGGCAGUGACCGGUUCUUCCUCAGAUCGAGGCUCCCCCAGCAGCCGCAUCCUCUGGCGCCCAGCUGAGGACAGACUCUGCUCCAGGUGCGCGCGCUCACACGCAGGCAUGUGCCGCCGUGUGCGUUCGAGCAUAUGGGUGUGCGUGGACGGACGCCCCGAGCCCCUGUGGCCCGGCCUCCUGCCCCGCCCCGCCUCCUUAUCUCCAGGCGCAGCGCUGGGGUCCCCUCCCUCUCCCUCGCCGCGGUGGCCCUGUUAGCGCCUCCUCCCUCCCUUGUUAGCGCCUUACAGCUCCCCUCCCCCUGCCCCUGCAUCCCCGAGAGGCCCCGUGGCCGGCAGCCCAGUUCUCGCCUUCUCAUUCAACCCCUGGACUUCGGCUUCUCCUUUUCGAGGCUUGGUUCUCCGCCCAGCCCCGCAGCCCCCCGCCCUCUCCUCCCACCCCCCUACCCUGUGUCCACGUGGACGGUGGAAGGGGCUGGGGGAGGCGGCCCUGUGCUAGGGUCAAAGCUAAGACCCCCCCCCCCCCCCCACUAAAGUGCUCCUGUAGAUCCGUCCUCUGCUGCCCGCCGCCCUCCAGGGCUACUGUUCCCAGGCUGAGCCCCGGCUGCGGGGACACAGGGUGGUCUUGUGCCCGGGGCCAGGCUGCCAGGCCUCCGGGACUACCAGCUUCCUCUAUCGAAGGGCUCCUUCCCCUCGGGCUUUGAAGUGUCUUUGAGGUUCGUAGAGGAUGUUUGGCUUCGGGGCCGAAUGCCAGGAUAAACUCCUUCUGCCUGCCCAGCCAAACCUCGGUCUCCUCACGGCCAGGCUCGCCCGCCUCCCCCAGCCCUGGACCCGGCCUCCUCCAGGCUGGCACUGCCCGGCCUGCCCAGGAGGCGGGCACCAAGGCGGCUGUUAUGUCACCAGGGAGAGCCCCUCAAGGCAGUGGGCAUCCUAGUCCCGAGCUGAGCUGGCACUGGGCACCUGUAGGUCAGGUGACCCGUGGGGCCGC